rnacentral:rRNA from 1 species
AUUGAACGCUGGCGGCAUGCCUUACACAUGCAAGUCGAACGGCAGCACGGGUGCUUGCACCUGGUGGCGAGCGGCGAACGGGUGAGUAAUACAUCGGAACGUACCUUAUCGUGGGGGAUAACGCAGCGAAAGCUGUGCUAAUACCGCAUACGCCCUGAGGGGGAAAGCGGGGGAUCGCAAGACCUCGCGCGAUUAGAGCGGCCGAUGCCUGAGUUAGCUAGUUGGUGGGGUAAAAGCCCACCAAGGCGACGAUCAGUAGCUGGCCUGAGAGAACGAUCAGCCACACUGGGACUGGGACACGGCCCAGACUCCUACGGGAGGCAGCAGUGGGGAAUUUUGGACAAUGGGGGCAACCCUGAUCCAGCAAUGCCGCGUGGGUGAAGGAGGCCUUCGGGUUGUAAAGCUCUUUUGUCAGGGAAGAAACACCGGCUCUAACACAGUCCGGGAAUGACGGUACCUGAAGAAUGAGCACCGGCUAACUACGUGCCAGCCGCCGCAGUAA